rnacentral:rRNA from 3 species
ACGAACGCUGGCGGCGUGCUUAACACAUGCAAGUCGAACGAUGAAGAAGAGCUUGCUCUUUGGAUUAGUGGCGAACGGGUGAGUAACACGUGAGUAACCUGCCCUUGACUCUGGGAUAAGCACUGGAAACGGUGUCUAAUACCGGAUAUUUCAGCUGGCCGCAUGGUCUGGUUGUGGAAAGAAUUUUGGUCAAGGAUGGACUCGCGGCCUAUCAGGUAGUUGGUGAGGUAAUGGCUCACCAAGCCUACGACGGGUAGCCG